GUCUCACCUGAUUUGCAUUGGCAGUGAUGACAUCACCAUUGGAGUGAUGACAUCACCAUUGGCAGUGAUGACAUCACCAUUGGCGUGAUGACAUCACCAUCGGCAGUGAUGACAUCACCAUUGGAGUGAUGACAUCACUACUGGCAGUGAUGACAAUAAUAACCAAAGCACCACUGUUUGCGCACCCACCACGAACCAGGCACUUGCUCUGAUCGUCUGCAUCCUUGUUACUAAAAUCACCUGGAAGCUAAUUACAAAUAAAGGCACUCAGGCCCUACCCCAGCCUUGCUGAGUCAGAAUCUCCAUUUUUCACAAGGUCCUCAGGCUGCCCCCCAGAAGGACACUGGAGGCUCCCUGCAAGCAGGAAGAGUUACUCAAGGGCUACUCUGGACCUCAGCCUUGCCCCUUCCUCCUGCACCCCAAGUGGGGCUUCCCUGAAUUUGGACACAGCAGCCCCUUGAGGGAGGCGCUUGGGAGGGCAGUGCUCAGAGGGAAACAAGGAUGAUCUCUCACCUGCUGCUCCAGCUUGGUCCUCCUAACACUCACAGGCAGCCAAAGGGGGCCAACUUAGGGCCUGCCGGGUUAGCCCACCUCCCGGCGAGCCAGAGACAUUCUCUCCCCUGCCCAGGAAUGUGGUGCCCACUCCCUCCUUCAGGAAGCCCACGAAGCCACGUGGCAUACGCCAGCAGCAUCUUGGCCCGUGGGGCUGUGGCCCACGCCGCGUCUCAUUCCAAACUCCUCAA